rnacentral:rRNA from 1 species
GAGACCCACGCCAACAGUUGCCAGCAUGUCCUCCGGGAUGGUGGGGACACUGUUGGGACCGCCUCUGCUAAAGAGGAGGAAGGAAUGGGCAACGGUAGGUCAGCAUGCCCCGAAUUAUCCGGGCUACACGCGGGCUACAAUGGUCAGGACAAUGGGUAUCGACACCGAGAGGUGAAGGCAAUCUCUUAAACCUGUCCUUAGUUCGGAUUGUGGGCUGCAACCCGCCCACAUGAAGCUGGAAUCCGUAGUAAUCGCGUCUCAAAAUGGCGCGGUGAAUAU